rnacentral:lncRNA from 1 species
AUUGAUCGUAUGUACAUUAGCGAGCAGCGAGAUUAAAGGAAAGAGGAAUUAAUAAACAUAAUAAAUAGCAGCAGCGUAACGAAACACGCAAAGGAUGAAUGUGCUGUCAAUAGAGAAAAUUAAGAGAUAUAACUGAUCACGUGCUGUGCACGUGAGAAAACGGCUUCCCGGUUCUAUUUCUCCCCCGGGCGUGCGUGUUUGGUAUGGAGAGAGAGAGAGAGAGAGAGAGAGAUGAUUUGCGCCAGUUUCAAAGCAGGACUAUAUUAUGAUCGCGCUUCCAAGAACUCGGCGAUCGCCUUGAUGCAAAGGCGAUCUGCUCUCCCUCGCUGGCCACCCUUCUCUCCGAGGUAAGGCGACGUCAGGUGAUCUCUCUGAUUCUUUCUCGUGUUCUUGACGACCGAUCUGCCUAUGCGCGGAAGAAGUUGGGGGGUUAUUGAUGAAUCUGGACGACGAGGCGAUUCAAUCUCAAGAUCUGAAAGGUCAUUUCCUUGUGGUAUUCUUUGUUCUUUUUUAUGAACUCCAACUUGCCUUCGCAUGUAAGAAUUUCGUGUAUCCUCGGUGUGUCUGAUCGACGAGGGGAUCUCAGAAACAUAUGGUCAUUCAAAUUAAACCCCUUAUGUCGCUUGAGUUUGGGGGUUUCGUUUAGGGUUUCAAUGUCGGCGUUCCCUUUUCUUUCUUUUUUCGUUUCUUGUUUUCUGUCCAUCUCACCUCUUCUUGCAGAAAUGGGUUGAGGUGAUCGAACAGUGUGUAGACGGGGGCUAAGUCUUCAGUUCUUUCGAUUCAUUGUUUUAGAUUGGAUUUCUUUAAUGGGAUUUCUUGAAUUCGGUUGAGUUUCUUUUCCGUAGAAUGCAGCUGAGGACAUGAUCGGUUCAAUAUAUAGGGGGAUCUAUUGGUAGGGUUUGGUAGAUGCAUCAGAAGGCCAAAUAGGAAAUCACCUUUUGCAUCGGACGACUUUUCUUGUCUUUGCAAGUACCGGGAUAGGUGAUCAAAGAGAGUUCAUACCAUUUGUCUUCCCUCGGUAACGAAGGUCGAGGACAUUUUGGUGUUGCAGAGUCGUUCUUGAAUAUAAUUCUCCUGUUGUGGUGUUACUCAAGCAAUCUCUGAUCUUCUUUAGGAUCUUGGAUAUGAGUAUCACCGAAUUUUUAGUUGUUCAUAUGGAUGGAUUUAUUUUUAAUCCGUUUUCAUAUCUUCUCCCUUGAUUCAUAGUGUUCUUCUUGGAAACCACUAUCAACACACAUGUUACACAGUACAUCAUUGUUCUUAAUGAGCUUCUUUCACAGUAUAUAUGUCACCUCCCUAGUUUAAAUGUAAGUUUCAUGCUGUCAAUGUUGAUUUAGUAGCCUCAUUAAAAUUUUCAGGUAUGGUUAAACUGAAAUGAGUUGCAACUUGCAAGCUCAUGGUUUGUUAAUAUCAUCCGGCAGUAAAGUCGACAAGUUAAUAUUUACAAGUAGAGGAUGGGGGGGAAUCGAGUUUCAUUAAUCAGUUGAUAGUUAUUUGUAAUGGUCAGUCCAAAAACUCUUCGAUUGAGUUGCAUAAGGGAUUGGUUGAAUGAAUUAAACUGAUUUUAUUUAUAAUGUUUCAUGACGCAUAUACCAUCUCGAAUUGGUUGGAUAAAAAUAAUGGCAAGACUCGGAGAAACUUUUGAGCAAUCUGUGUUAAGUGUUUAUUCUACAUAAAUAUUUUUAUGGUAGGAAUACCACACUGUUCUUGGACAUGAACUAAAAAAUGUUUAUUCUACAUAAACAUUUUUAGAUGCAUUAACAAAGAUGAUAAUUGCAACCACUACAUAGUUUCUAAGAGUAUUAGUGUAUCUAUUAUCUCUCCUUUGGUUGCAUACGGCCUGCUAUUCUUUCCUUGUAGCUUGUAUGUCUGUGUGAAAUGUUUAUUCUACAUAAAUAUUUUUAUGGGGUAGGAAUACCACCCUAUUCUUGGACAUGAACUAAAAAAUGUUUCAGCUGACAACAUCUCUCUAAGAUAUUCAAAAGUGUUUUUGGAGUUAAUGUCAGAUCAGGGAAAGAUGGUUAUAAUCUAGUGGAUUUACUGGUGUAGGGAAGUGAAAUACUUUCUUCCAAUGAACUUAACGAAGCAUGAUGAAUGUGGUUAUGGAUGAUUUGUUUGAUAUAAGUCGAGAUGAAAUUUAAUAGAUAGCAUGUCCAUUUUGUAAUCAGGUGUCUAUUUACCAUGUGUAGAGGGUCUUUGCAAGUGCAAAGGGAUAGUAUAAAACAAGCUCAUCAACUGUUGGGUUCAAAAUAUUAUUGUGAUGUCGUUGAUGCUUAAUUCUUAGGUGUCGAUCAACAAUCUUGAUGGACUGUUCAUGCAUGUCAAUUGUUCCACUCGGAAAUUUAAUUAGUUGAUAAUCAAGAGAGAAUUUUUUUCAUUGCAUGUAAAAUUUCGUUUGUCCUGUACCAAAUAUCUAAUCUCUGCCUACUUAAUUCUGGCCAAAGUCGAAUCUUGAACAUGUGUACAAAUGUUUUAAGAAUAGAGAUAAUAUUGUCACACUCGAUAACAGUGAAGUCAACUUGUUCUACAUUGACAGAAAGGCUUGUUGAAUCGUAUACCAUGGAUGCACGAUAUACUACUGCUAUAUGACAUUUGGAAACUGACAUUAUGGUUAAUACAUAGAUGCAUUAACAAAGAUGAUAAUUGCACCCACUACAUAGAUCCUUAAUUUUUUUUUUUCGUUUUUUUUCGUGCAUUAACAAAGAUGCAUUAACAAAGAUGAUAAUUGCACCCACUACAUAGAUGCAUUAUGGAGAAGGGUUCCUUUUUUUUGUUGAUUGGAGAUGAGAUCUAAUUGGGACAAUAAUCCGGAUUUUUUUUAAUAACUAAAAAUGUUUUAGCUGUGAAGGAAUCUGUUCUAGGCACCAAUUUGAAAAUGUUUAAAAUAAAAAAAAAACAAACAAACAAACUACGGCUAGCUUCUCUUUAGAAAAUCCUGACUUACAGAACUGGUAAGAUUUUUAUGAGCUUGAAAUCAUAAUUCCAAGGGACUCGGUGAUAACAAAUAAUUUUGUGUUGUGAUCCUGUUUUCAUUUUUACAUUUUCAGAAUCAGUGGAAAUAUUGGGUUUGUCAGGCAAUCAAUCAGUGGCUUCCACAUCUACAUGAAUUUCUUUCUGACUAGCUUCUAUUUGCACCUCAACAAAAAAGCACACACAUGUAAAUAAUUUUAAUAACCCAAAAACUUUCACUUGGCAUCGAGUAGAACUAAAAAUACAACCGCAAUGGAGACGACAAAUAUCAGUCAGCGGUCGAAAAGACAAUCACAUCGAGUAGAAAUAUCAGCCCCCCGCAUUAACUAACUCUUCAUCUUUCGGAUGGAAGUGAGGGACUUGAGAAGGGCUGGAGAGGGCCUCCUCAGCGUGUGCGUCAGGAUGAUCAUAAGCGUCAACAGGGUGAGUGCCCCUGCUUGGUGUGCUGAUGCCAGAGACACUGGAACAUACGUGAGAAGCGUCGUGAUCCCCACCGUUACCUGUUCAUUUUACGUUGUAAUUUUAUUAUACAAGUAACACUUGUUACUAUUUUAUGAUGUGGAGAAACGAACUCACAUUAAAAAAUUAAGUGCUUUAAUUUUUUAAUGUGAGUAGAUUGGAAAAACUACAGUUAUGAAAAAUAUAAUAGAUGUUUACCUGAAGUGCUGCCAUCCCCAAGGUACUUCCAAUUAAAGAUUGCACAGCUGGAUGAAUGUUCACUUUUCUUGCAGCAAACCACAAUCCACCAAUUGAUGCAAGUGUUGC